GACGAACGCUGGCGGCGUGCCUAAUACAUGCAAGUCGAACGCACAGUUUAUACCGUAGCUUGCUACACCAUAGACUGUGAGUUGCGAACGGGUGAGUAACGCGUAGGUAACCUGCCUGGUAGCGGGGGAUAACUAUUGGAAACGAUAGCUAAUACCGCAUAAUAUUGAUUAUUGCAUGAUAAUUAAUUGAAAGGUGCAAUUGCACCACUACCAGAUGGACCUGCGUUGUAUUAGCUAGUAGGUGAGGUAACGGCUCACCUAGGCGACGAUACAUAGCCGACCGGAGAAGGUGAUCGGCCCCACUGGGACUGAGACACGGCCCAGACCCCUACGGGAGGCAGCAGUAGGGAAUCUUCGGCAAUGGACGAAAGUCUGACCGAGCAACGCCGCGUGAGUGAAGAAGGUUUUCGGAUCGUAAAGCUCUGUUGUAAGAGAAGAACGGGUGUGAGAGUGGAAAGUUCACACUGUGACGGUAUCUUACCAGAAAGGGACGGCUAACUACGUG
rnacentral:rRNA from 1 species